rnacentral:rRNA from 1 species
UACGUAGGGUGCGAGCGUUAAUCGGAAUUACUGGGCGUAAAGAGUGCGUAGGCGGUUCUUGAAGUCCGCUGUGAAAGCCCCGGGCUUAACCUGGGAAUGGCAGUGGAAACUGGGGGACUUGAAUUGAGCAGAGGGGGGUGGAAUGCCGCGUGUAGCAGUGAAAUGCGUAGAGAUGCGGCGGAACACCGAUGGCGAAGGCAGCCCCUGGGCUUAAAUUGACGCUGAGGCACGAAAGCGUGGGGAGCAAACAGG